rnacentral:tRNA from 1 species
GGGGUGUAGCUCAGUUGGGAGAGCACCUGCCUUGCAAGCAGGGGGUCGAGAGUUCGAAUCUCUUCAUCUCC